rnacentral:rRNA from 1 species
GCGUGGGAAUUUACCCAGCUCUACGGAAUAACGCAGGGAAACUUGUGCUAAUACCGUAUACGUCCUCCGGGAGAAAGAUUUAUCGGAGUUGGAUGAGCCCGCGUUAGAUUAGUUUGUUGGUGGGGUAACGGCCUACCAAGACUACGAUCUAUAGCUGGUCUGAGAGGAUGAUCAGCCACACUGGGACUGAGACACGGCCCAGACUCCUACGGGAGGCAGCAGUGGGGAAUAUUGCACAAUGGGCGCAAGCCUGAUGCAGCCAUGCCGCGUGAGUGAAGAAGGCCUUAGGGUUGUAAAACU